rnacentral:rRNA from 1 species
AGCGAACGCUGGCGGCAGGCCUAACACAUGCAAGUCGAGCGCCGUAGCAAUACGGAGCGGCAGACGGGAGAGUAACACGUGGGAACGCACCCUUUGGUUCGGAACAACCCAGGGAAACUUGGGCUAAUACCGGAUAAGCCCUCACGGGGAAAGAUUCAUCGCCGAAGGAUCGGCCCGCGUCUGAUUAGCUAGUUGGUGGGGUAAUGGCCCACCAAGGCGACGAUCAGUAGCUGGUCUGAGAGGAUGAUCAGCCUCACUGGGACUGAGACACAGACCAGACUCCUACGGGAGGCAGCAGUGGGGAAUAUUGGACAAUGGGCGCAAGCCUGAUCCAGCCAUGCCGCGUGGGUGAUGAAGGCCCUAGGGUUGUAAAGCCCUUUCGGCGGGGAAGAUAAUGACGGUACCCGCAGAAGAAGCCCCGGCUAACUUCGUGCCAGCCGCCGCGGUAACAC